CCUGAUGCAGCGACGCCGCGUGGGGGAUGACGGCCUUCGGGUUGUAAACCUCUUUCAGUAGGGACGAAGCGCAAGUGACGGUACCUACAGAAGAAGCACCGGCCAACUACGUGCCAGCAGCCGCGGUAAUACGUAGGGUGCGAGCGUUGUCCGGAAUUACUGGGCGUAAAGAGCUUGUAGGUGGUUUGUCGCGUUGUUCGUGAAAUCUCACGGCUUAACUGUGAGCGUGCGGGCGAUACGGGCAGACUAGAGUACUGCAGGGGAGACUGGAAUUCCUGGUGUAGCGGUGGAAUGCGCAGAUAUCAGGAGGAACACCGGUGGCGAAGGCGGGUCUCUGGGCAGUAACUGACGCUGAGAAGCGAAAGCGUGGGGAGCGAACAGGAUUAGAUACCCUGGUAGUCCACGCCGUAAACGGUGGGUACUAGGUGUGGGUUUCCUUCCUUGGGAUCCGUGCCGUAGCUAACGCAUUAAGUACCCCGCCUGGGGAGUACGGCCGCAAGGCUAAAACUCAAAGGAAUUGACGGGGGCCCGCACAAGCGGCGGAGCAUGUGGAUUAAUUCGAUGCAACGCGAAGAACCUUACCUGGGCUUGACAUGCACUAGAAAGCCGUAGAGAUACGGCCCCCCUUGUGGUUGGU
rnacentral:rRNA from 1 species